GCCUUCUGGCUCUGAAUUUACUGGUAGCUGCUAAUAUAGUAGAUCACAAACUGCUGCUCUGGGUGACUGGAAUCUCCCUCAGGUCUUCCGGGUGAUUCUUCAGACACUGGUUACAGGGAAGGAAGGCAGCCUCACACCCCUCCCCAUCACUAGCCUUCAGUAGCCCCAGUGCUAAGGUGUCAGCAAAUCCCUGCUUCUGAGAGGAGAACCCACUUUGAAAACUCCUCAGGAAAUGGAGUUCACUCAGCAUGUCACAUUCAUGCUCCUGGGGGAGACAUGGAAAUGAUUCUCUUCCUUGUUCAUUGCUGAAGCCUGGUAGUUACAGUUGUCUCUCUUAACAGUGAUGGACUCCAUUCCUUAACAGCAGUCAGACCAGCAUCUCAAAUGCCAUACAUAAUCAGAACCAAACGUCACUGGGCUGAGAGCAAAGAGAGGUGGCAGCAGCUGGAAGCAAAUGUAGAAGUCCUCCUUGAUAUACCUCAAGUGUGAAGGAGGAAACACCAAGCGCAUGCCUUGUAAGAUAUCUUUUCUGGGGAAGUACAGGUCAUAGCUAAUGCUGAGGAAGGGUCUCUGAGAAGUGGAAAUUGGAUCUUUGAUGCCAUUUAUUGGGCUGGGCAAAGCAGGGCACAAAGAGAACAGAGGACCAGGGCCAAAGGGCCAUGGUACACAUAAAGGCUGUGGGCUGUGGGCACUCACUACAGAGAGGAUGAGACAGGAGGCAGAGUCCCCUUGUGUCUGUGGAUUCUUUAAGUAUAGGUAACCUGGCCAGAGGAGCCUUUACUAGGUCUGUGGACAGCAGAAAAGUCUGUAGAAGAGGUAUUUGAAGAGUCUGGAGACUGUUACUUCAAAUGUAUUUCCCUUACAAUGAUACUAAGUAGCCAGGAAGGAGGAAGUAACGAGACUUGGCAGUUUUCAGUUAUAAGACAUCCAAUAGAGGCUAGGCAUGGCAGCAAACACCUUUAAUUCUAGCACUCUGGAGUGAAAUUAAGACUAGCCUGGUCUUUAUAGACCAGGCUAGCUGAGGCUACCUAGGGAGACCUUGUCUCAAAAAACAACAAAAAAGCACCCAGUG
rnacentral:lncRNA from 1 species